GGUGAACGCUGGCGGCGUGCCUAACACAUGCAAGUCGAGCGGUGCAGUUUGAAGCUUCGGUGGAAAGGCUGCAUAGCGGCGGACGGGUGAGGAAAACGUAGGAACGUGCCCCUUGGAGCUGGAUAGCCACGGGAAACUGUGGGUAAACCGACAUAGACUCGAGAGAGUAAAGGCCGAAAGGCGCCAAGGGAGCGGCCUGCGGCCCAUCAGGUAGUUGGUAGUGUAAAGGACUACCAAGCCGACGACGGGUAGCCGGUCUGAGAGGAUGGCCGGCCACAAGGGCACUGAGAGACGGGCCCUACUCCUACGGGAGGCAGCAGUGGGGGAUUUUGGACAAUGGGCGAAAAGCCUGAUCCAGCGACGCCGCGUGGAGGACGAAGCCCUUCGGGGUGUAAACUCCUUUUCUCAGGGAAAAAAGGAUGAUGGUACCUGAGGAAUAAGCCCCGGCUAACUACGUG
rnacentral:rRNA from 1 species